rnacentral:rRNA from 1 species
CCUACGGGCGGCUGCAGUGAGGAAUAUUGGUCAAUGGGCGUAAGCCUGAACCAGCCAAGUCGCGUGAGGGAUGAAGGUUCUAUGGAUCGUAAACCUCUUUUAUCAGGGAAUAAAGUGUGGGACGUGUCCUGUUUUGUAUGUACCUUAUGAAUAAGGAUCGGCUAACUCCGUGCCAGCAGCCGCGGUAAUACGGAGGAUCCGAGCGUUAUCCGGAUUUAUUGGGUUUAAAGGGUGCGUAGGCGGCCCUUUAAGUCAGCGGUGAAAGUCUGUGGCUCAACCAUAGAAUUGCCGUUGAAACUGGGAGGCUUGAGUAGGUUUGAGGAAGGCGGAAUGCGUGGUGUAGCGGUGAAAUGCUUAGAUAUCACGCAGAACCCCGAUUGCGAAGGCAGCCUGCCAAGCCAUGACUGACGCUGAUGCACGAAAGCGUGGGGAUCAAACAGGAUUAGAUACCCGAGUAGUC